GACGAACGCUGGCGGCGUGCUUAACACAUGCAAGUCGAACGAUGAUGCCCAGCUUGCUGGGUGGAUUAGUGGCGAACGGGUGAGUAACACGUGAGUAACCUGCCCCUGACUCUGGGAUAAGCGUUGGAAACGACGUCUAAUACUGGAUAUGACUGCUAGCCGCAUGGUCUGGUGGUGGAAAGAUUUUUUGGUUGGGGAUGGACUCGCGGCCUAUCAGCUUGUUGGUGAGGUAACGGCUAACCAAGGCGACGACGGGUAGCCGGCCUGAGAGGGUGACCGGCCACACUGGGACUGAGACACGGCCCAGACUCCUACGGGAGGCAGCAGUGGGGAAUAUUGCACAAUGGGCGAAAGCCUGAUGCAGCAACGCCGCGUGAGGGAUGACGGCCUUCGGGUUGUAAACCUCUUUUAGUAGGGAAGAAGCGAAAGUGACGGUACCUGCAGAAAAAGCACCGGCUAACUACGUGCCAGCAGCCGCCGCCG
rnacentral:rRNA from 1 species